CACGUAGGGGGCAAGCGCUGUCCGGAUUUAUUGGGCGUAAAGAGCUCGUAGGCGGCUUAGUAAGUCGGGUGUGAAACCUCCAGGCUCAACCUGGAGACGCCACCCGAUACUGCUGUGGCUAGAGUCCGGUAGGGGAGCGUGGAAUUCCUGGUGUAGCGGUGAAAUGCGCAGAUAUCAGGAGGAACACCAGCGGCGAAGGCGGCGCUCUGGGCCGGUACUGACGCUGAGGAGCGAAAGCGUGGGGAGCAAACAGG
rnacentral:rRNA from 1 species